UCGAGCGUAGGGUCUAGCGAGCCCAACCUCCCACCCGUGUUUACUGUACCUUAGUUGCUUCGGCGGGCCCGCCAUUCAUGGCCGCCGGGGGCUCUCAGCCCCGGGCCCGCGCCCGCCGGAGACACCACGAACUCUGUCUGAUCUAGUGAAGUCUGAGUUGAUUGUAUCGCAAUCAGUUAAAACUUUCAACAAUGGAUCUCUUGGUUCCGGCAUCGAUGAAGAACGCAGCGAAAUGCGAUAACUAGUGUGAAUUGCAGAAUUCCGUGAAUCAUCGAGUCUUUGAACGCACAUUGCGCCCCCUGGUAUUCCGGGGGGCAUGCCUGUCCGAGCGUCAUUGCUGCCCAUCAAGCACGGCUUGUGUGUUGGGUCGUCGUCCCCUCUCCGGGGGGGACGGGCCCCAAAGGCAGCGGCGGCACCGCGUCCGAUCCUCGAGCGUAUGGGGCUUUGUCACCCGCUCUGUAGGCCCGGCCGGCGCUUGCCGAACGCAAAUCAAUCUUUUUCCAGGUUGACCUCGGAUCAGGUAGGGAUACCCGCUGAACUUAAGCAUAUCA
rnacentral:rRNA from 1 species